GACGAACGCUGGCGGCGUGCCUAAUACAUGCAAGUCGAACGCAGUGGGGACGGGUGAGUAAACCGUGGGUAACCUCCCAUCAGAGGGGAUAACACUUGGAAACAGGUGCUAAACCGAUACUGAUGGAUGGACCCGCGGUGCAUUAGCUAGGUGGUGAGGUAACGGCUCACCAAGGCCACGAUGCAUAGCCGACGUGAGAGGGGGAUCGGCCACACUGGGACUGAGACACGGACCAGACUCCUACGAGAGGCAGCAGUAGGGAACCUUCGGCAAUGGACGAAAGUCAGACCGAGAAACGCCACGUGACUGAAGAAGGUGUUCGGAUCGUAAAACUCUGUUGUUAGAGAAGCGGUAUCUAACCAGAAAGCCACGGCCAAGUACGUGCCAGCAGCCGCGGUAAUAC
rnacentral:rRNA from 1 species